GCCCCCGUUGUCUAAUGGCUAUGACGUCAGACUUCUACGUAUGAUUACGUAAUUCAUCUGGAGGCUGCGGGUUCGAGUCCCGCCGGGGGUA